rnacentral:rRNA from 2 species
CCAGCACAUGACCGCGUGAGUGAAGAAGGCUCUUCGGGUUGUAAAAGCUCCUUUUGUUAGGAAAGAACUCCUGCUAGCUAAAAACUGUGUGACCUGAACGGUCCCUAAGCAUAAGGACCGGGUAAAUUACGGGCCACAACCCGGGGAAUAACAAAGGUGCAAGGGGUAAUCCGAAUUAAUGGGCGGAAAGGGGGGGGAAGGGGGCUUCUAAAUUCUGAGGGGAAGGCCUGCGCUUCACCCGGGAACUGCAAUGGAAACCGGGCAAAUAUGAUGGGAGAAAAGGAAAGGGAAUUUCCAUGUGUAGCAGUGAAAUGCGUAAAGAUAUGGAGGAACAUCCAUGGCGAAAGGCGACUACCUGGACCAGCACUUGACACUGAAGGACGAAAAGCGUGGGGAAGCAAAACAGGAAUUAGAUACCCCUGGUAGUCCACGCCCUAAACGAAUGAGAGUGAAUUGUGAGAGGAAUUUGGCCCUUAAGAGCUGAACUUAACGCAUUAGGCACUCGGCCUGGGGAGUACGGGCGGCAAGACUGAAACUCAAAAGAAUUUGACGGGGGGCCCGCAACAAGCGGUGGAGCAUGUGGUUUUAUUUCGAUAGCAACGGCGAAAAACCUAACUAGGUCUUGGACAUUCUCUCAUGACUAUUCCCUAGAAGAUGGGAUGGUGUCGUCCUUCCGGAGCUACGAGAUCGACCAGGUGCUGCAUGGCAUCCUGGUCAGC